rnacentral:rRNA from 1 species
GACGUAGGGCGCGAGCGUUGUCCGGAUUUAUUGGGCGUAAAGAGCUCGUAGGCGGUUUGUCGCGUCUGCUGUGAAAUCCCAGGGCUUAACCCUGGGCCUGCAGUGGGUACGGGCAAACUAGAGUGCGGUAGGGGAGAUCGGAAUUCCUGGUGUAGCGGUGAAAUGCGCAGAUAUCAGGAGGAACACCGGUGGCGAAGGCGGAUCUCUGGGCCGUAACUGACGCUGAGGAGCGAAAGCAUGGGUAGCGAACAGG